CAAUAGCGUAUAUUAAAGUUGUUGCGGUUAAAAAGCUCGUAGUUGGAGUUCUGCCAGGUGCCGCCUGUCCGCCCCAGUGGUGAGUACGUGGCGCGCAUUUGGCCCUUUCAAGGGGAGCGUAUCUGCACUUUAUUGUGUGGUGCGGGAUCCUUGACUUUUACUUUGAGGAAAUAGGAGUGUUCCAAGCAGGCUCUCGUCGUGCACAGCUCAGCAUGGAAUAAUAGCAUUGGACCUCGAUUCUAAGCUGUUGGUUGCCAGAAGCGAGGUAAUGAUGAAGAGGGAUAGUUGGGGGCAUUCGUAUUUAACUGUCAGAGGUGAAAUUCUUGGAUUUGUUAAAGACGGUCUACUGCGAAAGCAUCUGCCAUGGAUGUUUUCAUUGA
rnacentral:rRNA from 1 species